AAGAUAGAAACUCUGCAACAGCUGUUUUCUCAGCAUCCUAGUAUCCUGUGGUGGCGUACAUGCUGUGAGCAACUGCAGUAGACAAGAAAUGGUGGGGCACUGAUGAACCCUAAAACCUUUGGGCACUGGUCCAGCUGCCAUCUCAUCUCUGGGCCACACCAAGCUACUGUCAAGAUCUAUAUGAGGACAACUGCACCUAUAGAUAGAUCAUGAGGAAUUUGCCUAAAAUGAACACUAUCCUGGUCUGUAUGAAGCUGUCAAGCUACCACUAUCUUGGAGACCUUUUAACAUGUUGCAAAAUGAUCUUGCAAAAAUUUCUUUUGCAAAAAUUUCAGUUUGUGUUAACUCUAGAUUAACAGGCACAAUAAGAAUUUUAUGUAUUGCUUCUUUCAGAAUCAAAUAUGAUAACAAUGAAGGACUGCAUUAUUAAAAGAUAAUUUGAUUGCCUUAUUAAAAGAUAAUUUGAAAAUUGUUUUUCAGCAAUGAUGUAUGAAUACAAGAUAUAAGCACGAAGGUUUUAAAUAUUGCUAAUUAAUACAUGCUAACUACCAAAAAUAGCAUAGUGAUCACUAAAUUAAAAGAUUUCAAUCUAAAUGUGCUUUGUACAUUUAGUACACUCAGUGUAUAUUGAGAAAUAGUUGUCUGCAGCUUCAGCAGCUAUA